AAGCAAUACAGACAAAUAUGAACAUAUUGCUUCCAUUAGUUUUCUGUUCUGCAAUCGUCAGAGGGGUCCAAUCAGAGGGUCAGCUGCAGGAGUCUGGUGGAGAUGUAAAAAAGCCUGGUGAAUCCCUCCGUCUCUCCUGCCAAGGUUCUGGGUUCAUCUUCGGCAAUUUCGGCAUGAACUGGGUGCGACAGGCUUCUGGGAAGGGACUGGAAUGGGUUGCAGUGAUAUGGUCCGAUGGGAGCCAGAAAUACUAUGCUGACCCAGUGAAAGGGCGCUUCACAAUUUCCAGAGACAACCCCUCAAGCAUGCUGUAUCUGCAAAUGAACAACCUGAAACCCGAAGACACCGCUGUGUAUUACUGUGCAGCAGACACAGUGAGAGGAAGUGAAUCUGAAGCCUGGCAAAAAACCUCUUUUACUCAUAGCAGCUGUCUGAGGCCUUAG